rnacentral:tRNA from 1 species
GGACAAUUAACUCAGUUGGUAGAGUGCAUCCUUGACGUGGAUGAAGUCAGGGGUUCGAGUCCCUUAUUGUCCA